rnacentral:lncRNA from 1 species
AUGUGUGGUUUUCACUCUCCAUCAGCAAACGCUGUGUUUUCUGGGCGUGUCGCAAGCGAAGCUGCUCACCACACCUCUGUGCGGAAGCGCACACCUUUUUUGUUGUUGUUUUUUUUUUUAAAUUGGCUCCAUGGAUACGAGCCACCGCACGGCAAUCCUCCACAGAAGAAGAAGACCCACUACAGAACUGCACGACAUUAGUCAGCUGGUUCGUAGCGUAGUAGAACCAUACGUCUACGAUCCCGAAUCUGACCCUGAAGCUGAAGAGGAGGCUGUUGAAGUCACCACAUUUCGGCUGAUGCAAGAUGUGUCUCAUUGUUGUUACAGGUAUCUAGUCUACAGAGGCUAGUGAGCUGGUGCUGGGGAUUCCUGGGUUGAAGAAUGUGAGUCGCCAUAUCUUCAUGCUUGGGUUGUAGAUGAAGGCAGUUGUAUGAUGGAUGUAGACCACCUGUGGAAUAACUCCUUUACCAUUUGAGUAGAAAUGUGUUUUUUGUGAGUGCAAUACUCAUUAAGAAUUUUUUUUAAUUCAUAUGUUUUUUUAUUUAUGGCCGGUUCACCUUUAUAGCUUACCAUAAAAACAUAUAAUUUCAAUACUAUGAUUUCUUGAAUAAAAGUGUUUUCCCCAGUUCA